rnacentral:lncRNA from 1 species
UGCUGCCACCGUGUAAGACCCAUUGCUCCCCCUUUGCCUUCCACCACAUUUGGAAACUUCCUGAAGCCUCUCCAGAUGCAGAAGCCACUAUGCUUCCUACAGCCUGCAGAACUGGACCCAGCUAGGAUUUCAAUGAACUUUGGCCUGAACCCCUCGGCCGACCCUAGAAUAAUCGCCCUUCAGGCCCGGAUUGCUUCUGCUCUCACCU